UACAGGGGGUGCAAACGUUGCUCGGAAUCAUUGGGCGUAAAGCGCACGUAGGCGGUUCGUUAUGUCGGAUGUGAAAGCCCUUGGCUUAACCGAGGAAGUGCAUCCGAAACUGGCGAGCUAGAGUACGAAAGAGGAUCGCGGAAUUCCCGGUGUAGAGGUGAAAUUCGUAGAUAUUCGGAAGAACACCAGUGGCGAAGGCGACUCGCUGGACAAGUAUUGACGCUGAGGUGCGAAAGCGUGGGGAGCAAACAGG
rnacentral:rRNA from 1 species